CGAGGCGGCCGGACGGUCGCGCGCCGGCCGGGCGACCGGCGGGCGUGAGGAAAGUCCGAGCUCCCCAGCGCAGGGUGGCGGGUAACGCCCGUCCGCCGCGAGGCGAGGACCAGUGCCACAGUGACGAUGCCGGCCCCCCGGGGCCGGAGUGAAACGCGGCAAACUCCACCCGGAGCAAGGCCAAAUAGGAGGGCGCAACCCCGGUUCGCCGGGGGGAGAGGCGCGCUGCCCAGCCCUCGGGUCGGCUGCACGAGCCGUCGGGCAACCGGCGGCCUCAGAUGGAUGACCGUCGCCGUGGCGCGAGCCGCGGUACAGAACUCGGCUUACAGGCCGCCUCGCUGG
rfam:Chloroflexi bacterium RBG_16_72_14 RBG_16_scaffold_1291, whole genome shotgun sequence.